AAAAAGACAAAUCCUGGAUUUCCGUGUCCAAUAUUUGAAUGUCCGUCUUAUAUGAAUUUUUUUAUAAUUAGUAUUUUCAUUAUUGUUAGAUGAUAAAACAUGAUUAAUACUUUAUGUGUGACUUUUCUUUUUAAUUUUUUUCAUAAUUUUUUCAAAUAAGACGAAUGAUCAAACAUUGGACACGGAAAACCAGAGUUUGUCUUUUU
rfam:Oryza glaberrima chromosome 7 Oglab07_0089_6, whole genome shotgun sequence.